AAUCUUUGAGGAUUUCAGUCAUCUGGACUUCAAUUGCGGUUGUGUUCAGUGUGAUCGCUGGAAUACUGAUUGCUACAUUUGCUUCUUUUGUUCAUAAAAACAGAGAUUUACAGAAUGAGAUGAAGAGCAUAAAAGAAGAUCAUCAAGUCAAAUUAGUGUCCAGGAGUUGCUAUUGGCUUCCUCAAGUUACCGAGCAAAUCCACACUCUAUGGAGGCCUUAAAGCAUAAAGUGAGGCCACAUGGGCCACGGUGCCUAGCAGUCCCCGCAAGGGCCCGCCCAAGUUCAAACAGAGGUCAACGCGGCAGUUCAAGAGCGGUGUCAUUGGUGUUGGUCAAAUUUGGCGAAGACAUUCCUGGAAUGGAGGGCUUGGGAACUGUUUAUCUUCUGCAGCAGACGUGCCGUUAUGACCAGAGUGAGGAUCUGGACUCCCAGCAGAACUAUAGAUACUGUGCCAAUGACUCCACCAUGGUGCUCUAUCCAGCGCGAGAUGCUGCCCAAACAGCCGCC